rnacentral:rRNA from 1 species
CCUACGGGAGGCAGCAGUGGGGAAUUUUGGACAAUGGGCGCAAGCCUGAUCCAGCAAUGCCGCGUGCAGGAUGAAGGCCUUCGGGUUGUAAACUGCUUUUGUACGGAACGAAAAAGUCUGCCCUAAUACGGUGGGCCCAUGACGGUACCGUAAGAAUAAGCACCGGCUAACUACGUGCCAGCAGCCGCGGUAAUACGUAGGGUGCGAGCGUUAAUCGGAAUUACUGGGCGUAAAGCGUGCGCAGGCGGUUAUAUAAGACAGAUGUGAAAUCCCCGGGCUCAACCUGGGACCUGCAUUUGUGACUGUAUAGCUAGAGUACGGUAGAGGGGGAUGGGAAUUCCGCGUGUAGCAGCGAAAUGCGUAGAUAUGCGGAGGAACACCGAUGGCGAAGGCAAUCCCCUGGACCUGUACUGACGCUCAUGCACGAAAGCGUGGGGAGCAAACAGGAUUAGAUACCCUGGUAGUCCACGCCCUAAACGAUGUCAACUGGUUGUUGGGUCUUCACUGACUCAGUACGAAGCUAACGCGUGAAGUUGACGCCUGGGGNGACGCGCGAGUAGAACGUAAGAAGUAGAGCGUGAGAGUAGCGACGGACGACGACGAGGGAGGAGG